rnacentral:rRNA from 1 species
UACGGAGGGUGCAAGCGUUAAUCGGAAUUACCGGGCGUAAAGCGUGCGCAGGCGGUGAUGUAAGACAGGUGUGAAAUCCCCGGGCUUAACCUGGGAACGUGCAUCUGUGACUGCAUCGCUGGAGUGCGGCAGAGGGGGAUGGAAUUCCGCGUGUAGCAGUGAAAUGCGUAGAUAUGCGGAGGAACACCGAUGGCGAAGGCAAUCCCCUGGGCCUGCACUGACGCUCAUGCACGAAAGCGUGGGGAGCAACAGG